rnacentral:rRNA from 1 species
GACGAACGCUGGCGGCGUGCUUAACACAUGCAAGUCGAACGGAAAGGCCCUGCUUUUGUGGGGUGCUCGAGUGGCGAACGGGUGAGUAACACGUGAGUAACCUGCCCUUGACUUUGGGAUAACUUCAGGAAACUGGGGCUAAUACCGGAUAGGAGCCCCUGCUGCAUGGUGGGGGUUGGAAAGUUUCGGCGGUUGGGGAUGGACUCGCGGCUUAUCAGCUUGUUGGUGGGGUAGUGGCUUACCAAGGCUUUGACGGGUAGCCGGCCUGAGAGGGUGACCGGCCACAUUGGGACUGAGAUACGGCCCAGACUCCUACGGGAGGCAGCAGUGGGGAAUAUUGCACAAUGGGCGGAAGCCUGAUGCAGCAACGCCGCGUGCGGGAUGAAGGCCUUCGGGUUGUAAACCGCUUUCGCCUGUGACGAAGCGUGAGUGACGGUAAUGGGUAAAGAAGCACCGGCUAACUACGUG